UAGGUCUCUUCCUCAACCGAUUUGAAGCU
rnacentral:piRNA from 1 species